rnacentral:rRNA from 1 species
AGAACGAACGCUGGCGGUGCGUCUUAAGCAUGCAAGUCGAACGAUAUCGACCCUUCGGGGUUGUGAAAGUGGCGAACGGGUGAGUAACACGUAGGUGAUCUACCUUGGGAUUGGGAAUAGCCCAUGGAAACAUGGAGUAAUACCGAAUACGUUCUCGUCUCUGUGGAGACGGGAAGAAAGGCGCGUGUGCGCCGUCCCGAGAUGAGCCUGCGGCGUAUUAGCUUGUUGGUGAGGUAAAGGCUCACCAAGGCGAUGAUACGUAGCCGGCCUGAGAGGGUGAUCGGCCACACUGGGACUGAGAUACGGCCCAGACUCCUACGGGAGGCAGCAGCUAAGAAUCUUCCGCAAUGGACGAAAGUCUGACGGAGCGACACCGCGUGGGUGAAGAAUGCCUGAUGGUUGUAAAGCCCUUUUUGUGCUGAGGAAUAAGGCGGGCAGGAAAUGGUCUGCCGAUGACGGUAAGCACAGAAUAAGCCCCGGCAAAUUACGUGCCAGCAGCCGCGGUAAUACGUAUGGGGCGAGCGUUGUUCGGAUUUAUUGGGCGUAAAGGGCGCGUAGGUGGUCAUAUAAGCUUGGUGUGAAAUACCGCAGCUCAACUGCGGAACUGCGCUGAGAACUGUAUGACUUGAGUUCCGGAGAGGAGGCUGGAAUUCCGGGUGUAGGGGUGAAAUCUGUAGAUAUCCGGAAGAACACCAGAGGCGAAGGCGAGCUUCUGGCCGAGAACUGACACUGAGGCGCGAAAGCGUGGGUAGCGAACAGGAUUAGAUACCCUGGUAGUCCACGCCGUAAACGAUGUGCACUAGGUGUUGGACCAACAGUGUUCAGUGCCAAAGCUAACGCAUUAAGUGCACCGCCUGGGGAGUAUGCCCGCAAGGGUGAAACUCAAAGGAAUUGACGGGGGCCCGCACAAGCAGUGGAGCAUGUGGUUUAAUUCGAUGAUACGCGAGGAAUCUUACCAGGGUUUGACAUAUACUGGAAGUCGUCUGAAAGGGCGACGCUCUUUGAGCCGGUGUACAGGUGCUGCAUGGUUGUCGUCAGCUCGUGCCGUGAGGUGUUGGGUUAAGUCCCGCAACGAGCGCAACCCCUAUUGUCUGUUGCCAACAUUUCGGAUGGGGACUCGGACGGAACUGCCGGUGACAAACCGGAGGAAGGCGGGGAUGAGGUCAAAUCAUCAUGGCCCUUAUGCCCUGGGCUACACACGUGCUACAAUGGUCGGUACAGAGCGAUGCGAAACCGCGAGGUGGGGCAAAUCGCAGAAAGCCGAUCUCAGUCCGGAUUGGAGUCUGAAACUCGACUCUAUGAAGUUGGAAUUGCUAGUAAUCGCGCAUCAGCAUGACGCGGUGAAUACGUUCUCGGGCCUUGUACACACCGCCCGUCACACCACCCGAGUUGGGGAUACCCGAAGUCGUUUAUCCAACCGUUCGCGGAGGAUGGCGCCGAAGGUAUGUUUGGCAAGGGGGGUG